CCUACGGGUGGCAGCAGUGGGGAAUAUUGGGCAAUGGGCGCAAGCCUGACCCAGCAAUGCCGCGUGAAGGAAGAAGGCUUUCGGGUUGUAAACUUCUUUGACAGGGGAAGAGCAGAAGACGGUACCCUGAAAACAAGCCACGGCUAACUACGUGCCAGCAGCCGCGGUAAUACGUAGGUGGCAAGCGUUGUCCGGAUUUAUUGGGUUUAAAGGGUGCGUAGGCGGAUUUUUAAGUCAGCGGUAAAAUGUCCGGGCUCAACCCGGGCCGGCCGUUGAAACUGGGGAUCUUGAGUGGGCGAGAAGUAUGCGGAAUGUGUGGUGUAGCGGUGAAAUGCAUAGAUAUCACGCAGAACUCCGAUUGCGAAGGCAGCAUACCGGCGCCCGACUGACGCUGAGGCACGAAAGCGUGGGGAUCGAACAGGAUUAGAUACCCUUGUAGUC
rnacentral:rRNA from 1 species